rnacentral:rRNA from 1 species
AUUGAACGCUAGCGGGAUGCCUUACACAUGCAAGUCGAACGGAGUGGCGAACGGGUGAGUAAUGUAUCGGAACGUGCCCAGUAGCGGGGGAUAACUACGCGAAAGCGUAGCUAAUACCGCAUCCUAUGGGCGCGGCCGAUAUCGGAUUAGCUAGUUGGUGGGGGACCGGCUCACCAAGGCGGCGAGCCGUAGCUGGUUUGGGAGGACGACCAGCCACAACGGGACUGAGAACCUGCCCAGACUCCUACGGGAGGCAGCAGUGGGGAAUUUUGGACAAUGGGGGAAACCCUGGUCCAGCCAUCCCGCGUGUGCGAUGAGGGCCUUCGGGUUGUAAAGCACUGGUGGCAGGAAAGCGGUACCUGCAGAAUAAGCACCGGCUAACUACGUGCCAGCAGCCGCGGUAAUUC